rnacentral:rRNA from 1 species
GGGGAUAACUGCUCGAAAGAGCAGCUAAUACCGCAUACGACCUGAGGGUGAAAGCGGGGGAUCGCAAGACCUCGCGCGAUUGGAGCGGCCGAUAUCAGAUUAGGUAGUUGGUGAGGUAAAGGCUCACCAAGCCGACGAUCUGUAGCUGGUCUGAGAGGACGACCAGCCACACUGGGACUGAGACACGGCCCAAACUCCUACGGGAGGCAGCAGUGGGGAAUUUUGGACAAUGGGCGCAAGCCUGAUCCAGCCAUGCCGCGUGCGGGAAGAAGGCCUUCGGGUUGUAAACCGCUUUUGUCAGGGAAGAAAAGGUUCUGGCUAAUACCUGGGACUCAUGACGGUACCUGAACAAUAAGCACCGGCUAACUACGUGCCAGCAGCCGCGGUAAUACGUAGGGUGCAAGCGUUAAUCGGAAUUACUGGGCGUAAAGCGUG